AGGGCAUCCAAGUAAUUACACCAAGAUUCCAUUUCAGCCGUCGGAUGAUCGAAUUGAUCGUAAAAACUAUCGGAUGUCACGAUGACCGACACGUCAUCAUCAGGCUGAUCGGACGGCGAGGAGGAGUCCGACGGCGACGAGGCGGAUGAGGACGGAGGAGUGACGACGGUGCCGACAUUUUCCGGGAAGCCAUUGGCGGCUGCGG
rnacentral:misc_RNA from 1 species